GCUGGGCACAGUGGAGCAUGCCUGUAAUCCCAGCGACCCUGGAGGCUGAGAUAGGAGGAUCACAAGUUCAAAGCCAGCCUCAGCAACUUCAGGAGGCUCUAAGCAACUUAGCAAGAUCCCGUCUCAA
rnacentral:sRNA from 1 species